rnacentral:rRNA from 1 species
GUAACGCGUAUGCAAUCUACCUUUCACAGAGGGAUAGCCCAGAGAAAUUUGGAUUAAUACCUCAUAGUAUAGUUAUACCGCAUGGUAUUACUAUUAAAGUCACAACGGUGAAAGAUGAGCAUGCGUCCCAUUAGCUUGUUGGUAAGGUAACGGCUUACCAAGGCAACGAUGGGUAGGGGUCCUGAGAGGGAGAUCCCCCACACUGGUACUGAGACACGGACCAGACUCC